CAUAGGCAGCUGCCUAUGGGUAACUUCUUAACAGGCUUAUUGGUAUAUGCAAGUCAAUAUGAUGUUGCAGUAAUUACAUACACAAGUCUGCCCUAUUCAUGGAUCACAAUCUUUGGUAGAAAUACAUGGGAAAGAACUGUGACUUCCAUCAUAGCCUUGACAGGAAAACUUUAAAAUAGUGCAAGUUCUGAAAAGUUCUACCAAACCACUAACACUUGGAGUAUGUCCCAGUGGCAAACUUCACAUUUGCCAUCCAGAGACCAGCCCGGCAAAACUACAGAAAUCCUUUGGCAUUGAAACAUCAGCCAAAUUGACCACAGCAACUCUGAAUGCAAUGAUGGCAUGGGACAUUUGUGAUCUCUUUCUGUGGUGUCACUACCUGCACCAGUGAAAUCACAGACCUUCAAGAUAUUCAAGGAAUAAUGGUGGCAAUGGUGAUGGAAGGUACACAAGUGUCUUCCUGACAUUGCAGCAGCCUAACAGCCCACCAAGCCGAGGCAUAGCACAUUGAACAACAAGUUUGGAAUAGAGGUCCCUGCUGCUCCCUCCCCCCCAAAAAAAUUCUCUGAAUGGUCAGUUAUCCUUUAAGAACUUAUUCACCAGUUAUUUCUGACUAUGGUGACCCUGAGAUGAACUUAUCGUGGGAUUUUCUCAGCAGGAUUUGUUCAGAGGGGGUCGAAUCUGAGGAUGAGAGAGUGUGACUUGUCCAAGGUCCCACAGAAAAUGCCUCCCUCCUUGAAGUGAAAGUUUAAGGAAGUUCAAAAAGAAAGAGAAUGAGAAAGGCGACUGAAAGGAGAAGCAAAAAAGGUAAAGGAAAGAGGAUAAGAGGAGUAGUAGAAGGUAUAAAGCCUGAGUAACAAAAAGGAAUAGACGUUUAGAAUAGGUAAGAAUUAUUU